AGGACGAACGCUGGCGGCGCGCUUAACACAUGCAAGUCGAGCGAGAACCAGGGCUUCGGCUCUGGGGACAGCGGCGAACGGGUGAGUAACACGUGGGUAAUCAACCCUCGACAUCGGGAUAGCCCGGGGAAAACCCGGAUUAAUACCGAAUGCUCCGUCUGGCCUUCGGGCCGGCCGGAAAAGGUAGCUUCGGCCUCCGGUCGGGGACGAGCCCGCGGCGGAUUAGCUUGUUGGUGGGGUAAAGGCCCACCAAGGCGACGAUCCGUAGCUGGUCUGAGAGGACGAUCAGCCACACUGGGACUGAGACACGGCCCAGACUCCUACGGGAGGCAGCAGUGGGGAAUCUUGCGCAAUGGGCGAAAGCCUGACGCAGCGACGCCGCGUGAGGGAAGAAGGCCUUCGGGUUGUAAACCUCUUUCAGGAGGACGAAGCCACUCGGGUUAAUAGCCCAGAGGGUGACGGUACCUCCAGAAGAACGCCCGGCUAACUACGUGCCAGCAGCCGC
rnacentral:rRNA from 1 species